CCUCAGUAAUGGCGAAUGAACGCCGAGUUGUCUUUUCUUUAUAACCGUCUGUUACCCUGAAAUCAGAUUGCCUGGAAAUAGGGUUAAUUGGCGGGUCAAGCACCUUGCCUUCCGAGGUGAACAUCAACGAGGGUGAGAGUCCCGUUUGUCAUCUGCAGUCCCCCGUGCACGGUGUACUUUCUAAGAGUCACGUUCCUCGGGAUUGGAGCGCAAAGUGGGUGGUAAAUUUCAUCUAAAGCUAAAUAUAGGUUCGAGACCGAUAGCAAACAAGUACCAUGAGGGAAAGGUGAAAAGGACUUUGAAAAGAGAGUUAAAAGUGCCUGAAAUUGCUGAAAGGGAAGCGAAUGGAACCAGUGCUUCUUGGCAAGAUUGGUGCGUGCUAAUGUGAUUGCCUGCUUCCUCAGCGCAAGCGUGGCUGUGGGUUUUGAUCAGGACGCGCGUGUUGUUUCUUGCCUUGUGUGUCAUCGUCAGUUCUCAAUCGAGGAAAACGCCAGGGACAUGGUAGUUUGCCCAUGGGUGAGCGAAUGUGCUUGGUUGAACUCAUUUGUGAACUGGUUCUUGCGUGUCUGGUUGCAGUGCUCUGUGUCCCCAUGACUCUUUGGUGGGCUUGCCCUCCUUGGAUGGAGUGGGUGACCAGGACAUCUCCCUGACACAACGACGUUGACUAAAUGGUUCUAUUCGACCCGUCUUGAAACACGGACCAAGGAGUCUAACAUAUGUGCGAGUUCACGGGCGGGUAAACCUGCUUGCGCAAUGAAAGUGACUGCUGGGAUCUUUGCACCAGCAACCGACCAAUCAAUUGAGAGAGGUUUGAGUAUGAGCAUAUCUGUUAGGACCCGAAAGAUGGUGAACUAUGCGUGGUUAGGGCAAAGUCAGGGGAAACUCUGAUGGAGGCUCGUAGCGAUACUGACGUGCAAAUCGUUCGUCAAAACUGCGUAUAGGGGCGAAAGACUAAUCGAACCAUCUAGUAGCUGGUUCCCUCCGAAGUUUCCCUCAGGAUAGCUGGAGUUGAACAGUUUUAUCAGGUAAAGCGAAUGAUUAGAGGAAUCGGGGACGCGUCGUCCUCGACCUAUUCUCAAACUUUAAAUGGGUAAGAUCCAGUGGUUACUUGGGUGAACUUCUGGGAUAAAUGACAACUCUAAGUGGGCCAUUUUUGGUAAGCAGAACUGGCGAUGAGGGAUGAACCUAACGUUGGGUUAAGGUGCUUAACUGCUCGCUCAUCAGAUACCAUAAAGGGUGUUGGUUCAUUUUAACAGCAGGACGGUGGUCAUGGAAGUCGAAAUCCGCUAAGGAGUGUGUAACAACUCACCUGCCGAAUGGACUAGCCCCGAAAAUGGAUGGCGCUAAAGCGGGUGACCGAUACCCAACCAUUGUUGCAA
rnacentral:rRNA from 1 species